AAGGGAAAGGAAUUGGAAGAGAACAUUUCUAAGGUCAUUCCCCACUGUACGUAACACCCCAAAAGACUUAAAAGUGUCAACUUUCAUAUUUUAUGUAAAUUAUAAGAAAUUUCAACACCUUCAUUCAACGGCUUUUCUGUGAAUGUGCUUCUUUCUACUCUGGGCUUCUACUAUGUGAUGCAAGAUAUUUUUUAGUUGAAGCUGUUAACUGGACUCUAUUCAUCCAAGAAAACCCGAAGAAAUGGAUAAUGAUUCAAAACAGACUACAUCUGAACAGUUCUGUACAUUAUAUGCAAAGAAAUGUUCCCACAACAAAGUCACUAAAUGACUGUCAUCAUGUCUGAAUAGAGGAAUAAAACUGAAUUGUGAUAAAA